rnacentral:ncRNA from 1 species
ACGUCCUGCCUCGUGAUCGUCUUCUCAACCUUCAUGACGGCAGGCGGAUGAACGAAAGGCCCCUCGCGAGGACGUGACUCGCGAGGGGCCUUU